UCCACUCCACCUGAGGUGAGCACAGCAACAAAAGGAUGCAACAUAAAAAUAAAAAAAAGUCACAAAGUUGAGAAAUGAACAGAAAGAAUUUUUAAGCCUGAUGUGGCAACAGAGCACCAUGAAAAAAAAAAAAAAAUUAAGAAUAUGGUCAUUAGCAACAAAUAUAUUUAACAGAACAUAUAUACACAUGAAGAGAGUCAAUAGCAAAAUCAAAACAGAAGUUUCUUUCAUUUAAACAGAAAAAAAGAGGUGGCUCAAUUACAUGACGAGCACUUCUAUCUAAUACCAGCAAUAACUGAACCACCAAAGUGUACAAAAAUUCAUAGGCGUGGAGCCACCAACACUAAUCUCUCUAGUGUGCUGAACAUCAUGAGUACAUGCAGACUCAGAUAUAGCAUUGCUAGAACAUAAUUGUUGCCCGGCAAAGUAACAAUACGGAAAUUGAUUUAAGACAGGAAUUUUUAAAAAAAAAUGAAAAAUUGGCAUUAACAUCACUUACCAUAGCAUUCGUCGGUUGGCGGUUCCACCUUCGUUCUUUAAUUUCUUGAUCACAGAGAUUCAACAACCGACAUUGCCGCCCAAACCCUGCUCAUUUAUUAUAGGCUCUGCACCCCGAAUUUGUUCUCCACUUGGGCCUAUUUUAA
rnacentral:lncRNA from 1 species